GGCCUGGCAGGGAGUAGGGCGACUCCGAAAGGAAGAACUGCAGCGCCCCUUGGGGCUUCUUGGGGCGCCCAGGUAACCUCACCUGACCGCCAGCCCCCUGCAGAAGGAGGGGAAGCCCGGAGCAGACGCGUGGGCUGCCUUUGACCCUGGUAUGAUGGCAAAGGUGAGGAGAAGGAAGGCAAGAAGGCAAAGGAGAUGGAAAAGGACGCCUGCUCAUUCACCCUGUGUUCUCGGCGGACACAACAUCUUUGUUGGUAUGUGGUGCUGAGGAUCGAACCCGGGUCGCAGGCAUACCAGGCGAUCGCGAUACCGCUUGAGCCACAUCCCCAGCCCCUCCAAUGUGAAUUUGAGAUGCUCGGUUUAAGAAAUACAAGGAAACAAAUAAAAAGCAACCAACUCACAACCAAAAUUCUUUUUUUAUUAAAUUGUCAGCAAGUAUUCAAAGCUGAUGUCUCUAAUUUCAUGUAAAUAAAAGAAAAUCAGAUGCCAGGAGAACAAACACCAUGUUUAUAAUUAGAAGCUCUUCUGCAGAUCUGGUUGUGUCCACGUGUGAUGCCACACAAACAGAACCUUGCAAAGAUUUCCUUGAUGACAGAUGUUGAGCAAGGGACAACCUGUUAUCACCUCCAAAGGAGAAGUGUUACUUCACAGGAACAGCAAUCAUGGGAUGUCAACUCACUCUCUGAUUCAACGUCACUAUAAAAACAAGACUCACAGGCACUGGAUGGAACAAUUCUCACAUAAAGAAGACAUGGAGUAGGAUCAACAGUGUGUAUCAGGUGCCCAUGGUCAUCAGCUGACACAGAAUGAUGACCUGCGUGUGCUUUUUUUCAUGCUGCAAACCCAAGACCCAGUUCUCUCCCUACCAGAAACAGAUAUAGUAUAGUGGGGUUAGCCAGAUACCAAGAGAUGCACAGGCUUAAGAGAACACAGAACUACUUACUGAGUCAGAAACAGGGAAAGGCAUUCUUCACACAGGCUGUGAAUGCUACUAUCUGUGGUAAGGAAGUGCUCUGGGUCCAAGGCUCAUUCUUAUGGGGCCACGCAGGGAUUAUAAGACUGCAUACGUGUGCUCACCUUUCCCAAUAAUGAUCUCACUGAAUCUUGAGAAGGUAGUUGAAGGAAGUCUGGAUCAUCACAUCUGUUUCCUUAUGCAUGUCACUGAGUCCACUGUCUCCCCUGUAUAUGGCUGCAGAUAUCAGGAUGUUCCAUUAGCUGCCCCAACUCUUAUGCCAGGUCCUAGGGAGUCCAUCAAGUUACAGUCAUCCCUGGAUCUAAUCCAAGUAGCUACAUAAACUCUGUGUGUGUGUGUGUGUGUGUGUGUGUGUGUGUGUGUGUAUGUGUGUGUGUUGCUGGGUUUUGAACCCCAGGGCCUUGUGCAUGCAAGGCAAGCACUCUACCAACUGAGCUACAUCCCCAGCCCUAAAAGAAAAUUUUGACGUUUAGGAGACUGCAUGUACAAAGAGAUAGUGGUCACAGCAUACAUGACAAUAGAACUCUGACCCACAAACUCUAGUUACCAAUUCAGGAAGUAAAACCUUGACUUCUAGUAAUCCAGCCUAGAAUGGUCAAGAAUUAGUCAAUAACCGUCAGAUUUAUUAUUAUUAUUAUUAUUAUUAUUACUACUACUACUACUACUACUAUAUAUUUUCUUUGCUACUGGGGAUUGAAGUGAGGGGCCCUUUACAACUAAACUAUAUUCUCUUUCCUUUUAUUUUUUGUUUUGAGACAGGGUCUUGCUUAUUUGCUGUGAGCCUUGCUAAAUUGCUGAGGCUGGCCUCAAACUUACUAUCCUCCUGCCCCAGGGUACUUAGUAGCUGGGAUUACAAGUGUGUCUAUUUUUAAGAAUCACUCACAGGCACUGGAUGGAACAAUACUCACAUAAAGAAGACAUGGAGCUUCUGGGGCUGAGGAUAUAGCUCAGUUGGUAUAGUGCUUGCCUUCAUGCACAAGGCCCUGGGUUCAAUCCCUAGCACCACACAGACACACACAGACACACACACACACACACACACACACACACACACACAAAUAUAUAUAUGCUUCCCAAACCAGUCAGAUAAAGUGCCUGUUUCUCAGCCAGACUUGAUGAUGCAUGUCUGUAAUCAUGCACCAUCCCAUGUAAUCAUGGGAGGCUGAGGCAGGAGGAUCACAAGCCUAGGUAGCUUAACAAGAUACUGCCUCAAGAUAAAAAUAAAAAAGAACUGGGGAUGUAACUUCAUGAUAGGGCACCCCUGAAUUCAAUCCCUAGUAACACACACAAAAUCCCACUUCUGGUUAGCCUAACUUCAGCUUUCUCAUGCCAAGAACCUCCAAUCAGGCAUAUCGGAAGCUUUCUCUUUUUUUUUUUUCACUGCAAAGCUUUCCUACUCUCUGCCUUUGAGUCUCCACCAAAUGCUAGUGAUGGUGGAUGACCCUUUUGCUGCAGCCUGUUUUUUCUCAUUGGGGUGGUCUUUCCCUAUACUAGCGGAUAAUAAAUUCAAAUGAAUUCAAAAUUAUCUCUUCGCUAUCGUAGACUUGGUGGAACAAAAUUCAUAAUGAGGACAUGUUGAAAGUCUGAGAGAGGGGCUGGGGUUAUGGCUCAGUGGUAGAGCACUUGCCUCACAUGUGCGAGGCACUGGUUUCGAUCCUCAGCACCACAUAAAAAAAUAAAUAAAAUAAGUGUAUUGUGUCUAACUACAACUAAAAAAAAAGUCUGAGAGAAUUAGAGCUAUAUUUUCACAAAAGUAUUUAAGACAUAUGGAAACCCAUGGUUAGGUGGAUAAUUAUACAAUGGAGAAAAUUUGUCUAGGAUAAAAGAGAGACAUGCUAUUUCUGCAGAAUAUGCUUCUGCCUAUCAAGCCUGGUUAAAGGGUAAUAUUCUCAUAAUAUAGACUACAAAACUUGAACAAAAUGAAUUCUAGUAAAAAUUGUGACUGUGAUUAUGGACUAUCUACUAGAAUCUACUGCUUCCCAACAUAGAGAAUCAGAAGCAUUUCUGACUUGCUUCAUUAAUAUUUCAGGAAUAUAACAAAACCAUGAAACCAAAAGAUCAUGUGGAAGUUGGGGAGGAAUAAAAGUUAAUAGUUACCUCCUUAUUGGAAAAAUUUGAAAAUAUGGGAGGAACUGAAUGGACUGAGUUGAACUGGAGAAUGCACAUCUUUGCAAGAUAUAGAUGAAGAGGGAUGUUUGAAUCCAGGUAAACUUUCUCUGCAACCUUGUAACACUCAGUCGGCUCAUUGUUGAAAGUCUGACAUCACAUUUUUUUCUUCUAUUUGUAAUAUGGUAAAAAUCUCCCACAUUUAUGUCUAAAACAAUGAGGUCUGAAGUUAAAUCAUUUUAGCAUAUGGUCUUAUUUCUGCUAUGCUAAUUUUGGUACGUAUUUGGGGCAGUUAGUGCUAACAAUUAAAAUAAGAAAAAGCCACCACCUACAUUCUACUACAGUUAUAUUUUUGACUUAGUGUUUUCAAAUUUACUUCAUAUCAUUUAAAUAAACAUUUAUUUGCUAUUGUUAAUUUGCUGAAUCAGCUUAUAAAGUUAAAAAAUCAAUGUGUGGGCCAGGCAUGGUGGUGCAGGCCUGUAAUCCCAGCAAUUUGGGAGACAGAGGCAGGAGGAUCACAAGUUUGAAGCCAGGCUCAGCAAUUGAGUGAGGCCAGAAGCAACUUAGUGAGACCCUGUCUCAAAAUUUAAAAAAAAAAUCAAUGUGUGGCUUAUGAUUUCAACAGCUAAGUAAUUAGCUCUUUCUAAUGGUAUGGGAAGAAAUGAACCUUGAGAUAAGGGGCCAAGUGCUUAGGUCUUCCAAGUGCAUCUCUCAGCAUGCAUUCAUUCAAGAAUUUUUUUUUUUUUUUUUUAGAGAGAGAGAGAGAGAAUUUUAAUGUUUAUUUUUUUAGUUAUCAUUGGUGGACACACGUCUUUGUUUGUAUGUGGUGUUGAGGAUAGAACCCGGGCCGCACAAAUGCCAGGCCAGCGCACCACCGCUUGAGCCACAUCCCCAGCCCUCAUUCAAGAAUUUUAAGCUGUGUCUGCACUUUAAUGUAAUGGUUAAUAGUACAAAGAGAUUUUACAAAGUGACUCUAAGAUCAUAUCUGUACUAGGCAAAUUAUUAACAUCAUAGACUUUUUAUGUAAAGAUUGAAAUUAUUCUCUGUUUCUUGACAGAUAAAUACAGUUUACUAAAAACUUGCAAUCAUUAAAUAUAUACUUGGAUAUCAACUGUGUGCAAGACACUGUUUUCUACUAUAAAACAGACUGAACAAAAGAUGGAAGAUUUACCAAGUUUCCCCAAGUUUUAAAAUGCAUUUCCUCAUUUCUGCCCUUCAGUAGAGGCAUUCAAUUGAUGAAUCUUAGAAUAUUAUAAAAAUGAUUCCAUUUUUAUUCAGUUAGCACUUCUUUGACACUUUGACCAAAAUAAUUCAACUGUGUUUAAGGUGUAUUUUUUAAUUAAAAUAAAUAUUUCUCAACUUUAUUAGAAGUUUGUGUUAUUUGGAAAGCAUAUUUGAAGUAGUUCCCAGAAAAUUACUUGAUAAACAGAAAAUAUUGAUUUUGUGAAAGAUUCUCAUUUUGGAGGUCUGAACAUCUGGGUACCUGAGAAAAUGCAUACCUGGAUGUCACUCUUCCCUGCUGAAGUUCCAACUCUCUGCAUGUGAAUGAAGCACUUCUGUAAUUAGGAGGUUAUCAAUUGUAAAAUUACACUACUGAUUCCAUAAUAGAUGUUUGGGGAAAUAGAUGUUUAUAGAAGUCAUUCUAUAAAAUAUUCAUAUAGUUGUAUGACAAUAGAAGGUAUAUCUUAGAAUCUACAAAGUACAAUUUUCUCAUAAAAAUAUAUGCAUAUAUAACAUUUUUUUCUCAUGAGCUUUCGUAUACAUAUUUCAAUGUAUUUCCCUCCAUCAUCUGUGGAUCUAUCACAAUAAAGACUGCAGAUUCACAUCCCGAUUAACAUGCCUACCAGUAGAAGCACCCUUCUCACAUAUGUGGUAUAUGGUACUCCUCUCACUGUUUGGUGCCAUUUUUCCCUGUUUUAAAUAUUUUAGCACAAAUGAGAGUUUUAGUGCAAUGAUAUCGUGGGAAGUUUAAAAUCACAGGAGCAAGGAAAUUCCCCAUGUAGAUGAAGAGCUUCUAAACAUUGCGUGUACACAAGAUUGUUCAGUGUAAAUAGCCGCAGUGAGUGAUCCUAAAUUUGGUUUUCAUUGUGUUUAGAAGCAUUUAAAUUAACCACAAAUAAAACUUGGAUCCUUUGUGUUGACUUAUUUAAUUUUAAUUAUUUAGGACCAAGCACUAAAACUCAAUAAACAGGUUAGAUAUAACAUUUUGAGGGAAAUUCAACAUGGCUCUUAAACAUGGGUGAAAAAUACAAGGCAGAAGAUAAAAGAUAAACAAGAAUAGAAGAUGACAUAGCCAUCUGUCGGCAUCCCAAAGGAGAUGUUGGUUUCCGUGUCCACAUUUUCUGCUUUCUUUUUCAAUGCUUUAUAGGGAAGCAUGUGGCUCAGCUAACAAUAUUCAGGUAUGGGACUGAGAGAGAGGCAACUGAUAAUACUUAACUAUGUACCCUAGACAAAAUCUCUAGAGAAGGUAAAGACUUCUGGUUCCAGCACAAAAUAAUAGGAUUAUUUUAAACUAUCCUGUGGCAAACAACUAGAAAUGCCAAAUCAAAUAAAGCUGUGUGCACUUUUUUUCCCCUGCAAGUCUCUGUCCAAUGAGGUAAUCCACAGAUGGUAGAAACAAAGGAAAGUUUGAGAAUCCUGAGAAGAAUGUGUUUCUGAUGAUUUUAUUCUAGAAAUCAGAUAUCCAUAGUGGUGACCUCUUUUAUGCCAACUUAAAAUUCUGUAAACUUUUAAAAUUAUAAAUCUGAUAUGUACAGAUUUUAAGUACAUGACUUGAUGAAUUUUGAAAAACGUAUAUAUCCCUGAAAUCAAUACCCCUAGUCAAGACAUAGGGCAUCUUUAGUGUCUGGGAAAGUUUCCUCAAUCCCUCUUCUAGUCAGUCUCUACAUCCACAGGCAAUUAUUGUUCCCAUACCUAAAAUCAUCCUCCAGAAUUUUAUAUGUAUUCAGUUAUUCUUUUGUGUAUAGCUUCUUUCAUCCUAUAUUAGUUAUUACAGUUAUUACUAUAUUACACUACUCUAGGGUGUGAGUUUAUUGGAAGUAAGAAUGUAAUGUUUUAUGUGGCAUGUGAGUGUUGAUUGUACAUGCUUUAUGCAUGGGGUUGAGCAUUAAUGUUGAUUAACAUAUAAUGUACUAUGUCUUACCAUAAGAAAAAAGGCGGGAGAAGCCCCAGCAAAGUUGAAGUUGCUCCUUUGAAUUUGCAAUUCAAUAUGAUUAUUCACCUCAGGACUUGGUGAAAAGAGGAUUGGACCUCUGACUUUAGAUUACAGUCUAAUACUUGCUCAGCCAUUUUACCAUUUCAUCAACAGUUGAUUGUUCUCAACUAACCACAAAGACAUCGGGUCACUUUCACUCUUAUUUGGCACCUGAGCUAGCUACAAUUGAAUAGACUGUGUCCAGGCCUCUGAAGGCCAAUGGUGAGUGGAAGCAUACCCCCCAAAAUAAAACCACUAAACAUAUGACAGUGCAGUUAUGUUGUGUCACAGGUUAAAAUGAAACUAAUCCAUUGUGAUGUCUUAUUUAAGAGGAAUGAGUGGGAAGUUUUACAGUUUAUGGGCCUGAGGUAUUUCUAACAUAAUAUUCUAAGAAAUUCAAACAUGAUAUUGUAUGUUUCAAGAAUUCAUUCCUAUUUAUUACUGUGUAAUAUUCCAUUGUAUAAAUGGAAUAUUUGUCUAAUGGUUGUUUCUAUUUUGGACAUUUGAAUGAAAGUGUUAUACACAUUCUUACACAA